AAUUGUUAACAGAAUAAGAUUAUAUCUACUUUUUUUCCUCUAAUAUUUAUGUAGACAUCAGCAGCUCUCCAGGAUUUUGAUGCAUUUCAGUCAACGACCAAAAGAUCUGAUUCCUAAGGACUCGUAUGGUAUCACUGUUUCUUUUCCUUUGGGUUUGUUGUAUAAUGAUAUUGAUCAGCUGUAAUUCAUGAAAUGGUCUGUUCUUCAGUGAUGUACUUCUGGAUGCUGCUGUUACCGUCUCUCAGCGGAGCUGCUGUUCUCAUUAUAGCUGCGGCUCUUGGUGAAUAUGGGGCUAUCUUUUCUGCAGUGCUUUUCCCCUGCAUGGCAAAAGUUAUUCUUUCUCAAUAUCAUAGACUGAGCAGCUUUCAAAGGUUAUCAAACCCUGUUUACCUGGGAACACUGACUGCGGGCCUAAUUCAUUCCAUAGCUUGCUUUCUCUAUAAAAUUUUACCUAAUAUCCUUUGCAGAUAGCUUAUGUCAUCAACCUCUUUCAAAAGUUGAAAUCUUUUGGAUGUUUUGUCAAUUAUUCCUUGACCGCUCACGGUUUUGGCCAGCUUAUACCCUCUUAAAUUUUUCACUUGUCCAUUUUUGUGUGCUCGCUGGACUUUUUUGGAAAGUUUUAAACCAGAACCCAGGACGACUCAAAGAAGCUGACACUGAUUCCAAGUUUUCCAGCAUAGGAGACUUAAUAGAAGCUGGAAAGAGCCCAGACAGAUUCUGUAUUUACUGUGAGGUGAGCACUUAUUUGACCAGCACUGUAUCUGAAUCUCUUUUCUGAUUUUUAAAAUUGACUU
rnacentral:lncRNA from 1 species